rnacentral:lncRNA from 1 species
GUUCAUUUUGUUUCACAGAUAUGGGAAGUUUUCAGCUGUCUGGGGGUUUUUCAUAUAUGCUUUCUGGUUCUCCUUCUCCCCGCUCUCUCUCUCCUCUCUCCUCCCCCUGGAAAAUCUCUUGAUGUGAAUAUAGGUCUGCUUGAUGGUAUCAAAUAAGUUCCUUCAGCUUUCUUCAUGCCUUUUUUUUUAUUAUCGUUUUCUCUUUCGCUCCUUUGACUGAAUAAUUUUACAUGGCCAGUCUUUGACUUCACUGAUUCUUUCUUCUGCUUGAUCUAGUCUGCUGUUGAAGCUCCCUAGUAAAUGUUUUAGUGCAGUUAAUGUACCGUUAAGCUCCAGGAUCUCUGUUUGGUACCCUUUAAUAUUUUCUAUAUCUUUAUUGAAAUUCUCAUUUUGUUCAUGCAUUCUUUUGUUAACCUUGGUGAACAUACUUUAUGGCAGUUAUUUUACAUUCUCCAUCAGGUAUAUCAUAUAACUCAGUUUCCUCUGGGUCAGCUUCUGGAGCUGUAUUUUGUUCUUUUGUUUGGAACAUAUUUCUUGUUUCUUCAUUUUCCCUGACUCUAUGUUGGAGUCUUACACAUUAGACAAAACAGCCACCUCUUUCAUAUUGGCCUCAUACAGGAGAAGACCCUCACGAAUCAGCCUUGCUAGGGAUUCUAGGAGCCUUUUUAACCUUCGUGCACAUUCAAUCCCCUUUCUUUGUUCUUAGCAGCCCCCAGGCAUCUAGAGUGCACUAAGUCCUGUCAGCACUUCAAGAGAAGUGGUACUGAAGUCACUUCCACGGACAGGCUCCAGAAAAGUUGGAUCAUUGGACACUCUGUCAAACUGUUUCUCUUCCCUGGGAGGAUCUAAGAUCUGGGUUUUUGUUUUGUUUUGUUUUUUGUUUUCCUCUUUGCUGAUCCAGAGAAGGGGCUAUGAGAAGUAGAUAAAUGCUAGUUCGAACCAUCAUCUGUGUCCUCACUUGACCCCCAGCUGGGGUUGCCAUCAGCACUCAAGACAGGCGAGACAGAAGUCAGUCCUCUGGGUAGUCCCAAGAAAAUUGGGGUCAUUGGACAUGAGAUCCACUUGUUUUCACCUCCAGAAGAAGCUUGAAGGGAGAAGCUUGGAGCUAGGACUUUACCUCCCAAGUCUAUGGAGCUCUGACAGAGGUCUUUGGCAGUUCAGUCUGGAAAAGUAAACGCUAUUUACCCAAAAGACAGUAAUUUUAAACUCCCCUUUCGGAUGGUCUCCAGUGAGAAAUGAAGCUGAGGAGGUGGAGAGGACAGGAGGGGCUGUUCCUCCAGCUGUUGGAAGCAAUCUUGGCUUGGAGAAGAAUGUCUGAUCCAACCAUAGCACACUGGAAACGUUGGAGCCGUCAGUAUCCGGGGAGCAAUUCCAGAGAAGGCCUAACUUCCAACAGCCCAGGCUUUUCAUGAACUAUUCUGGUCGUUGUUUCUCUGUUUAGGGAGUUCCCUUUGGCAGGAGCUGCGAUUUACACAACAGAAGGUGACACCACUGGCAGCGGAGCAUGCCUCUUCGAAUCCCCUACCCGGGCAGUGCUCAGCUCCUUCUUCUGCUUCAUGCUCCAAAGCUAGGAACCCACUGAAAACCCCUGCUAUGCAAGCCCUUUUAUUUAGAUUCAGGCGGCUUUAUUUUCACUUCCUUCCCUUCGAAAUGCAGGAUACUCUUUCUCAAAGGCAGAUUAGAUGUUCAACACUCUGACUACAUUCAACUAAAACCCCAGGUGAUCCCCAUUAAAAACCAGUCAGGCUUUGGGGGAGAUGCCAGAGGGGGUGUUGUUGUGACUUGUUCUUUCUGGAAGCCUAAGCCAGUGUCUGGUCUCUUCUAUGUCUGGUGUGGCCCAGCUGGUGAGGGGGCCUCUGCCAAGCACUGAGAAGUUAGCAUAUUACAUCCUUAUUACAUUCAACUAUCUCUCUCUCUCUCUCUUUUUUUUUUUUUUCGGUCAUGCAACUUGAGUGUGUUUGGGACUAAGGCCUUGAGUUUCUGCAUUCUGUGUCUUCUAUCAGCUGCUUUCACUCUCACAUUUGUGACACCCAAUAUUGCAACUGGGGCCUCCAGGGUGAGACUGUGCAUCCCUAGGAAGCACUGUUGUGAUGGAGCCAAAAGGCCUGUGUCUUCCGGGGACAUGAACUUCCCAGCCGAGUGUUACCACAGCCAGUAACAGACGUAAAACUCAUCUCUUCCCUCUAGGGUCCAGCAAAAAAGCAAAAAUCCCAGAAGCUGAGCUGCCUUUUCACCCAGCCCAGCUAGAAUAGACUGCUGUGCUCAAAUAGACAGAGGACUCCAUGGAAAAUGUGUUUCCCAGUCCUUUCUCUCCUAAUAUCCCUAACAGGAGAGAGAUCACGCGUCCACAUGCAUAGAGGCAGAGAAAGAAAAGGAAAGAAAAAAGGUGAUAUUUUAUUUUGCAAGUUCUACUGCAGCCAAAUUGUUCCCCUUUUAAGAAGUUGGGGAAAGUCAGGAAAGUGAGAGUAGAGAAAGAGCAUUUAUUGAGUGCCAAUUAUUUAUUCAUCAAUUAUUAGGUGUUUGCCCUGUACUAGGUAGCGUGCUUCAUGUAUGUUUCAGGGAUUUAAUGGUGAUUAUAUAUCUAAUCUUUAAAAUAACUAUAUAUUUUUGUCUUGGGGCAAGGCUGAUUAUAACCUCUACUUUUACAGAUGAGAAAACUGAGGCCUCUUUCAGGUUGCACAACUUGCAUGUGGCAGAGCAAAACUCUGAAGCCAGGUGCAUUUUGACUCCAGAGCCUGUGCAGUUGCUACCCACUCUGAUCCUCUUACAGGGUCAUGUGAAAUGAUGUGGAAUAAUUAAGUUUAUUAUAUCAUGGCAUUGAAAUACCAAUUAAACACUAAAAUCAUGAUGAUAAUAUAAUUCCAAAGAAAAACUUGGUGUUAGGGUUAUGGGCAGUUUAUGUGUUCAACAAUUACAUACUUUUUGAUAUUGAUAUACAAGUAAAAUAAAGGAAAAAUAUUGUAUUAAUAACGUUUGCUGUGGAUCUGCUUCUGGGAGGGAAAGAACUGCUUUAAGUAGCCUUGGUACUAAGACAAUAAACCACGGAGAGCCAAGAACACAUAGCCUCAUGCAUAGUAACAAAAUCAUCUCAUCCAAAAGGAUGAUCAAAUCAAUACUAACUAUAGGAAUAUUUCUAAAUUUG